AGCGAACGCUGGCGGCAGGCCUAACACAUGCAAGUCGAACGGAUCCUUCGGGAUUAGUGGCGGACGGGUGAGUAACACGUGGGAACGUGCCCUUUGGUUCGGAACAACUCAGGGAAACUUGAGCUAAUACCGGAUGUGCCCUUCGGGGGAAAGAUUUAUCGCCAUUGGAGCGGCCCGCGUCUGAUUAGCUAGUUGGUGGGGUAAAGGCCCACCAAGGCGACGAUCAGUAGCUGGUCUGAGAGGAUGAUCAGCCACAUUGGGACUGAGACACGGCCCAAACUCCUACGGGAGGCAGCAGUGGGGAAUCUUGCGCAAUGGGCGAAAGCCUGACGCAGCCAUGCCGCGUGAAUGAUGAAGGUCUUAGGAUUGUAAAAUUCUUUCACCGGGGACGAUAAUGACGGUACCCGGAGAAGAAGCCCCGGCUAACUUCGUG
rnacentral:rRNA from 1 species